AAAUGCGAGCAAUAUGCACUGAGCUUAUAUUACAGUUUUAUUUCUGCGAAUAAUAUAUUUUGAUUCUAGAGAUGGCGAUGAAUUUCCUAUCAGCCGUUUUCUUCGUCGUUGUUGUCACCAACAAGUGAAGUAAGUCGUCGCUGUUAUGGGUUUGAUAACCUUGCCGGACCUUUGGCUAAACAUGGCCUACAGACAUCUUUAGCAGGCCAUGGGCUAAAGUUUGUUCGAUAAAUUCAACCAACAUCAGUUACUUUGAAGGACGUGGAAUCGUGAAAGGAAACUUGAUUUUCGUAACCCAUGCUUUUAAAGUGUGGUGUAAACCAGUCAUUUGAUGUUCUUUUUUUUGUUCAGUCAAUAAAUGCUUACAGCGGUUAUAGCCGAAUAGUGCAGUUGGUUGAAGCAUCGUGAUAAUAACGCGAAUGUCGCGGGAUCGAUUCCUGUAUUGCUGGUCAAGUUGGUACCUCGAAAGCUCAGUUGGGAUAGCGUUAGUUUUAAUUUUGAAGUAAAUUACCAACGUCCAUGGGUGGGCUCGAACCACCAAUCUUUCGGUUAACAGCCGCUUACUCAAAUGUAUUAAGCAAGCAAAGUUGAACCUAAAUCUCAGCUUUAUGGCGUCCGGAGACCAAUAUAAAGAAUAGUGACAUUUAUUCAUGCGUGUUGAUCAUAAAUAGAUAUAUAUUUUUAUUCGUUGCCAAAUAAUGUAUGUGGCUGAUGUAUCAACACACACUACAACAAUAUUGCAUACAAGACCAACAUAAAUAUCUUCACUUUGUAGUAGGACCUUAUUUGUGCUAAUAAAACGUAG